rnacentral:rRNA from 1 species
UGGGGAAUAUUGCACAAUGGGCGCAAGCCUGAUGCAGCCAUGCCGCGUGUAUGAAGAAGGCCUUCGGGUUGUAAAGUACUUUCAGCGGGGAGGAAGGUGUUGAGGCUAAUAACCUCAGCAAUUGACGUUACCCGCAGAAGAAGCACCGGCUAACUCCGUGCCAGCAGCCGCGGUAAUACGGAGGGUGCAAGCGUUAAUCGGAAUUACUGGGCGUAAAGCGCACGCAGGCGGUCUGUCAAGUCGGAUGUGAAAUCCCCGGGCUCAACCUGGUAACUGCAUUCGAAACUGGCAGGCUAGAGUCUUGUAGAGGGGGGUAGAAUUCCAGGUGUAGCGGUGAAAUGCGUAGAGAUCUGGAGGAAUACCGGUGGCGAAGGCGGCCCCCUGGACAAAGACUGACGCUCAUGUGCGAAAGCGUGGGGAGCAAACA